rnacentral:rRNA from 1 species
AUGGGCCAUGAUGUAGCCUGGGUGUUGAAUAUAAAGGAGGCGUUGGGGCGCCGGGGCGUUCGUUGCCAGGGCGUUGGUCGCCAGAAAAAGUGCUCCAUCCAUGAGAGAGAGAGAGCGGUUCCAACAAUCACCGUCGUCAUCUUCAACAACAACCACCUCUUCGGCCAUGGCAAUGGAUCAACGAUGGACCAACAGAUUGGCAAGUUGCGCGUCUGGCUCGCGACAUUAGAGAGCGACUGCGUGUACGCACACUUCUACCCGCUCAUGGCACUGAGCUCGACGGGACUGAAGAAGACAGGGGAGCUCCUCGCCGUCUUGUUCACCUGUACGGCUUGGGCAAACAUGUUGGCACAGUAUGGGUGGCCGCUGCGGCCCAAGAUGCACUACACCAACCCUCUGUCCAUGCUGCAGCUGGAAUACCUCCGGGUCGAGAUGAUGGUGAUUGUGGCCACGCGCCUGGGAAGGGUUGUGUUAGUACUAAUCUUGAUGCAUGUAGUUAGUUGGCUUAGUGGCCGGUGCGGUGUGCGUGCAUGCAGCAGGCUAGGCAAGUAUGAGUUAGUCUGCAGUUUGUUAGUGCAUGCAGCAGGGGCCGUUGGAGGCAACCCCGUCGUGCGUAUAGGAGUGCGUCGUCCCUGCGGCCGGAACGUACGAAUCAAGCUGCAUGUGUAG